ensembl:lncRNA
CAGUUCCAUAAAUACCUAAGCAGUGCAGUGCCUUGAGGAAAUGAAAAAGAAGCAAUAGUUUUGAAGCUUUUUCCUCCUCUCCUCGCAAUUCCAGUUGUUAUAAAAUUUCAUAAAAUGCGGGAAAGUAAUCCUGGAUGGGGAACACACGUGUAGAGAGAAGACGUGCUCCUUUCAAGGGGCGUGGGCAGCAGGACGCUGGCCCUGCCUAUGGGACAGGAGUGGGGAGGGGCACAGUCCUCUCCUCUCUCAGGGCUGGAGGCUCUGAAGGUCCAUGCAUUCCACUCCAUUUCCUAGGAAGUCUGCAAAGCACAGCUGCUGUGCUGUCUCUCAAAGGGAGAACCUUCUCUUCGUAGAGCUGCUUUGUCUCUGCUGACUGAUUGCACCUCCCCAACUGUCUCCUAGAUUUCAGGAUAAAAGCUAAAUAGAGCGCCCAUGGGAAAAAGGGCAGGUGGAUUUCUGUAUCCCAGGAAAGAGAUGCUAUCAGUGGUCCUGAAAGCACAUAAGCACUUCCUCUUGAGCCCUGAGGGGCAUGUCUAGCGAUGAGCAGCAGGGCAAGGUUCUGUCCAAGGCAGAAACCUUAGACUUGACACCCUGCCUGGCACACAGCACACACUCAUGAUCAUGAAUGUUGAAGUUCACCAUUUUAUGGUAGGUGAUUUGUCUUGUAAUUUUUUCUGGUAAGGACUAGAUAUUGGGGAGUUGUUUGGUUGUUUACUUUUUUCCCCCAGCACUUUAUUAUGAAAUUUCUCAAAUACGCAGAAUUAUUGAAAAAAUUUUACAAUGAUCACUACCUAGAAUUCACAAAUAGCCUUAUCACUUGAGUGCUACUUUUAAUGAGACUUGUUCAAGUUUCGUUUCUCUUUUAAAAGUGUGCUGCUAAAAUAAUUGAACAGCUUUAAGCGAGUUGUUUUAAACUCUGGGGAAAUGUGAUAUUUGCAUUAUAGCUAGAAUUGUAGUCCUUACUUUACACUAGUUUUAAACGUGUAAAUCUGUCCUGGUGAAUUUCAGACUUAAUUAUUUUGCCUGAAGGAAUGUUUUGUUAUAAUAGAAUUAUUUUAAAGUCCUUGAUCAAUUGUACAGAAUAUUCUGAUGUUUUCACACUUGAUAAAUUAUCUAAUUAAUUUUUCUGGUGAGAGUGUAUGUGGGGCUCAUUUUGCUUAAACUAAAUUUCAGGAUAGUGUUCCCAGAGGGCCUGAAGAGGCAGGGUAAUUUAGCAUAUAAACCACUAAAUUAGGAGCUAAGAGAUUUAGAUUUUAUCCCUGACUGACCAUGGACAAAUCACUUCUCUUUAUCUUUGUGUCCAUUUAUGUACUUGUAAAGUGGGGACUAGAAUUUGAUAUUUAGGUUUUAAUAAGUAAUGGGUAACAUCUAUUAAUGCUUGGACCAGUUAAGACGUUUAAAAAAAAAAAAAUACACGAUGCAUCCAACGAGGUUCUCAUAAUUAUCUAACUGUGUGACAAGCUUCAGAAUGAACUCUGAUUUGAAAAAUUGAAGGAUGGGCCAUGGUCAAAAGUAUCUUAUCAAAUACUUAGAACUUGCUGUUGCCACAGAAUUUGUGAGUGGUUUCCCUGAUCCAUCUGGACUGUGAAAAUUAUGUACUUUGUGAGAGGGUGAAUGGGAGGCCAUUUCCUCCUCUAGAAAAUCUUCCCGACCCAGGGAUCAAAUCCUCGUCUCCUGUAUCGCCUACACUGCUUUUGGAUUCUUUACCUCUGAUCCAUCAGGGAAGCCCUAAAGAUGGGAGGAGGCAGACAUUAAUCACAGCAAGAUUGAAAAUCAAUGUCGAGUUAAAGAACAGGUUGUAUGGAAGGGUGGGGCUUAAAGGAGUCAUCCUGAUUCAGUGCCACAACAUUCCACUGCUCCCCAAUCGACCCACACAACAACAACACCAGCCCUGCUCCUGCCAGCCCAACCUCAGGAGGUCUCCGUCAGGUCAAUACAAUUGAAUUACAGGAUCGACCAGGAGCUAAGCAGGGUCUCUCUGCUCCAUUUAGUAGAUGAGUGUACCCUGUUCUUUCUAUUAGUAAACCC